UACGUAGGGGGCAAGCGUUGUCCGGAUUUAUUGGGCGUAAAGAGCGUGUAGGCGGCCAAGCAGGUCAGCUGUGAAAACUCGAGGCUCAACCUCGAGACGUCGGUUGAAACCGCUUGGCUAGAGUCCGGAAGAGGAGAGUGGAAUUCCCGGUGUAGCGGUGAAAUGCGCAGAUAUCGGGAAGAACACCCGUGGCGAAGGCGG
rnacentral:rRNA from 1 species